rnacentral:rRNA from 1 species
CCCCGGGCUCAACCUGGGAACUGCGUUNUGAACUGGGUGACUAGAGUGUNUCAGAGGGAGGUAGAAUUCCACGUGUAGCAGUGAAAUGCGUAGAGAUGUGGAGGAAUACCGAUGGCGAAGGCAGCCUCCUGGGAUAACACUGACGUUCAUGCCCGAAAGCGUGGGUAGCAAACAGGAUUAGAUACCCUGGUAGUCCACGCCCUAAACGAUGUCGAUUAGCUGUUGGGCAGCAUGACUGCUUAGUAGCGAAGCUAACGCGUGAAAUCGACCGCCUGGGGAGUACGGUCGCAAGAUUAAAACUCAAAGGAAUUGACGGGGACCCGCACAAGCGGUGGAUGAUGUGGAUUAAUUCGAUGCAACGCGAAGAACCUUACCUGGUCUUGACAUGUACGGAACCCUUCAGAGACGGAGGGGUGCCUUCGGGAGCCGUAACACAGGUGCUGCAUGGCUGUCGUCAGCUCGUGUCGUGAGAUGUUGGGUUAAGUCCCGCAACGAGCGCAACCCUUGUCAUUAGUUGCCAUCAUUAAGUUGGGCACUCUAAUGAGACUGCCGGUGACAAGCCGGAGGAAGAUGGGGAUGACGUCAAGUCCUCAUGGCCCUUAUGACCAGGGCUUCACACGUCAUACAAUGGUCGGUACAGAGGGUAGCCAAGCCGCGAGGCGGAGCCAAUCUCACAAAACCGAUCGUAGUCCGGAUUGCACUCUGCAACUCGAGUGCAUGAAGUCGGAAUCGCUAGUAAUCGCAGGUCAGCAUACUGCGGUGAAUACGUUCCCGGGUCUUGUACACACCGCCCGUCACACCAUGGGAGUGGGGGAUACCAGAAGUAGGUAGGGUAACCGCAAGGAGCC